AAAUUUCAUCGUGAUGGGGAUAGAUCAUUGCAAUUGUUGGUCUUCAACGAGGAAUGCCUAGUAAGCGCGAGUCAUCAGCUCGCGUUGACUACGUCCCUGCCCUUUGUACACACCGCCCGUCGCUCCUACCGAUUGAAUGGUCCGGUGAAGUGUUCGGAUCGCGGCGANGGGGGCGGUUCGCCGCCCCCGACGUCGCGAGAAGUCCAUUGAACCUUAUCAUUUAGAGGAAGGAGAAGUCGUAACAAGGUUUCCGUAGGUGAACCUGCGGAAGGAUCAUUG
rnacentral:rRNA from 1 species